rnacentral:rRNA from 1 species
ACAGGGAUUGCCCUAGUAACGGCGAGUGAAGCGGCAACAGCUCAAAUUUGAAAUCUGGCGUCUUUGGCGUCCGAGUUGUAAUUUGCAGAGGGCGCUUUGGCAUUGGCAGCGGUCCAAGUUCCUUGGAACAGGACGUCACAGAGGGUGAGAAUCCCGUACGUGGUCGCUAGCCUUUACCGUGUAAAGCCCCUUCGACGAGUCGAGUUGUUUGGGAAUGCAGCUCUAAAUGGGAGGUAAAUUUCUUCUAAAGCUAAAUACUGGCCAGAGACCGAUAGCGCACAAGUAGAGUGAUCGAAAGAUGAAAAGCACUUUGGAAAGAGAGUUAAAAAGCACGUGAAAUUGUUGAAAGGGAAGCGCUUGCAGCCAGACUUGCCUGUAGUUGCUCAUCCGGGUUUUUACCCGGUGCACUCUUCUAUAGGCAGGCCAGCAUCAGUUUGGGCGGUUGGAUAAAGGUCUCUGUCAUGUACCUCUCUUCGGGGAGAACUUAUAGGGGAGACGACAUGCAACCAGCCUGGACUGAGGUCCGCGCAUCUGCUAGGAUGCUGGCGUAAUGGCUGUAAGCGGCCCGUCUUGAAACACGGACCAAGGAGUCUAACAUCUAUGCGAGUGUUUGGGUGUCAAGCCCGAGCGCGUAAUGAAAGUGAACGGAGGUGGGAACCCCUCGGGGUGCACCAUCGACCGAUCCUGAUGUCUUCGGAUGGAUUUGAGUAAGAGCAUAGCUGUUGGGACCCGAAAGAUGGUGAACUAUGCUUGAAUAGGGUGAAGCCAGAGGAAACUCUGGUGGAGGCUCGCAGCGGUUCUGACGUGCAAAUCGAUCGUCAAAUUUGGGCAUAGGGGCGAA